rfam:Triticum aestivum genome assembly, contig: Triticum_aestivum_CS42_TGACv1_scaffold_570554_7AS
GUAGUACUCCCUCCGUCCGAAAAUACUUGUCAUCAAAAUGAACAAAAAGUCCUCUUUUAUUCAUUUUGAUGACAAGUAUUUCUGGACGGAGGGAGUACAAC